rnacentral:rRNA from 1 species
AUGCCGCCGCCGCCGCGGCAGGACUUCCCGCCGUUCCCUUUCGUGCCGUACCCGAUCCAGACGGAGUUCAUGUCCAUCCUUUACAGCGCCCUCUCCUCCGGGCCCCGCGCCCUCGCCCUCCUCGAAAGCCCCACCGGCACCGGAAAGACCCUCAGCAUCAUCUGCAGUGCGCUCCAAUGGCUUCUUGACCACCGCGACGCCGCCUCGCUGGGCCACCCCGAACGGGCCAAUGGCUCCGCCCCCGCUGCUGUCGGCGGCGAAGACGACGAGCCCGACUGGAUGCGGGAUUUCACACUGCAGCCGCUGCCGCCUAAGAAGGACAUCAGGAAGAAGUCGGAGACUCACCCGUCCAGGAGGCAUGGAACGAAGAAAGUGGGGGGUUCGGAGAAAUCUGAGCGAAUUCGGGAGAAUGACGACGAGGAGGAAUUCUUGCUUGACGAGUACGAGAGCGAUGACGGGGAGGGGGGUUCGGAGAAAUCUGAGCGAAUUCGGGAGAAUGACGACGAGGAGGAAUUCUUGCUUGACGAGUACGAGAGCGAUGACGGGGAGGGCACAGGACGGCAGGCCGGGAAGCGGGCACAUUGUGGUGGUGCUAGUAGUAGUAGUAGUAGUGAGAGCGAGGAUGAUGAGGAUGAAGAGGAGGCCACUCCCAAGGUGUAUUUCACCAGCCGUACGCAUUCACAGCUCUCGCAGUUUGUCGGGGAGCUCAAAAGGACGAAUUUCUCAGGGAAGCUCAGGACAGUGUGCUUGGGAUCCAGAAAGAGCUUGCGUAUUAACAUGGAUGUUCAGAAGCCCGGGAGUGCAAACCGGAUCAACGAGAGGUGCUUGGAACUGCUAAAGAACAAGAAGAGCAGCAAAAUUAAGGUCGAGGGUGAUAACAAGAAGGGACGCCAAACAAAGGCCUCUUGUCGGUGCCCAAUGUUAGGAAACAGAAGUCUGCAGAAACAGUUCAGGAGUGAAGUGUCCGACCAUGGUCCAUUGGACAUUGAGGAUUUGGCACAACUUGGAAGGAAGAUUGGAACAUGUCCUUACUACGGUGCACGUGACAUGGUCCGCUCAGCUGACCUUGUAGUACUUCCUUACCAGUCUUUGUUGCUGAAGUCUGCUAGAGAAUUACUUGGCCUUAAUCUGAAGAACAGUGUUGUCAUCAUAGAUGAGGCUCACAACUUAGCAGACUCCCUUACUAGCAUGUACAACUCAAAGCUCGAAUCUUCUCAGUUGAGGGCAGUCCUUUCCCACCUGGAGGCAUAUCUCGAUAGAUUUCAGAAUGUUCUGGGAGCUGGAAAUCGACGUUACAUCCAGACCUUGACAGUUCUAACACGGUCAUUCCUACGAUGUUUGAUAAGUAAUGAAGAUUGUUCCUCCGCUGUGACCUCUAUGACUAUAAAUAAGUUCUUAUUCUCCCUUGAUAUUGAUAACAUAAACAUAGUAAAACUUUGUUUGUAUCUGAAGGAAAGCAAUAUAGUCCACAAGCAACAUGGUGAAGGAAGCAGUAUAACAAGCUUUCAGGCUUUGACUGACCUUUUACGCUCUCUACUGUACUGCAAUGACGAUGGAAGAAUCAUAGUUGCACGACACAAGCCUGGUGGGCAACCUGAAGAUGCAUAUAUUAAAUUCGUGAUGCUUUGUGCAGAGAAAACAUUUUCUGAGGUUACAGAUGACGCACAUGCUGUUAUUCUGGCUGGUGGAACCCUCCAGCCUAUUGAAGAAAAAAGGUUGCGCCUGUUUCCAGGCUUAUUGCCUAGUGAUAUAAAAUUCUUCUCAUGCAACCAUAUUGUUCCCCCUGAGAGUAUUCUUCCUAUAGCUGUUACAUGUGGGCCUUCAGGCAAGAAAUUUGAUUUCAGCCACAGUUCAAGGAGCUCUCUUAACAUGAUCGAAGAGCUUGGACGUUUUCUUUGCAAUAUAGUGACAAUAGUACCAGAAGGAAUAGUAAUGUUUCUCUCUUCCUACGAAUAUGAAAAACAAGUUUAUGAUGCAUGGAUGGCUUCAGGCACAAUUUCUAAGAUUUCUAAGAAGAAACACGUGUUCAGAGAACCAAGAAGCAGUGUUGAUGUCGAGGUGAUACUCAACAAAUACAAGGAGGCAAUUCAAUCCUGCAGCAAAGGUUCAGGAGACACUAGUGUUAACGGGGCACUUUUAUUGGCUGUUGUCGGUGGGAAGAUCUCUGAAGGUAUAAACUUCAGUGAUGGCAUGGGUCGUUGUGUUCUGAUGGUUGGAUUGCUUUAUCCAAGUCCAGAUGAUAUUGAACUGAUGGAGACAAUAAAACACAUUGGAAACUAUUCUACCUCAUCUGUGAUUGGAGAUGAUAAGCCCUUCAACGGAAACGAUGAAUGCAAGCUUGAGCCUGGCUUUGAUGUACUAAGGAAGAGUGGUAAAAGUGGCCGAGAGUACUAUGAGAACUUGUGCAUGAAAGCUGUGAAUCAGUCUAUCGGUAGAGCAAUCAGGCAUGUAAAUGACUAUGCUGCAAUGCUGUUGGUUGACUCACGUUAUGCACACACCUCAUCAAGCAGGGGUUUCUCUUGCCCCGUUGAAAAGCUACCCCAGUGGAUCAAGACACGACUCACUUGCGGUCAAAACUAUGGGGAAGUUCAUAGAUUGUUGCUUCAGUUUUUCAAAAUCAACAAACAAAUACAUUGA